rnacentral:rRNA from 1 species
AUGGCGCCACAGCCGGAGUCAGCCGAGGAGGCCUGCCGGCGCGCGGAGGCGCUCUUCCUCGCCGGCGACGUGCGUGCGGCGCACCUCAUGGCGCAGAGGGCUCAGACGCUCUCCCCCGCGCUGCCCGGCGUCGCCAGCGCGCUCGCCGCCUACGCCGUCCACGCUGCGGCCGCGAGCCGAGGCGGCCGCCCCGACGGGCGCGCCGUCCUCGGCCUCGGCCGUGCGCAGCACCGCCAGGAGGAGCCGCUCGACGCCGGUCUGAGCGAGCAUGAUGUUAUCAGGAGGCAGUUCCGGCGGAUGUCCCUCCUCGUCCACCCCGACAAGAACCCCUCCGCCGCCGCUGAAGGCGCGUUCAAGCUGCUCCGCCAGGCCUGCGACGCCCUCUCCGCCACCGCCAGCCGCCACCGACCGGGCGGUGCCACCGCAGCCCCUACGGCAGCCGCUGGACACCCGCACCACCGGCGCAGCUACGCCACAGCAGCCGGCAUGCGCGGUACGUACGCCGAGGCCGCCACCAAGUACGCACCGUCCCCGGCCGCCACCAAGAAGCCUGCCACGGCCACCGCCGGCAGCCACCGGCCCAGCAACGACACCGCUGCCAAGCACACCGCCGAUCAUUGGCGCAACACCCCCGCCUACGCCUCAGCCGACGGACUCGACGAUGACUACGACUACGACUACCAUGACGACUACUACGACUAUUCCAGCCACUACUACGCCUACCGCGGCCAGGACGACACUGCUGAAACGCACACCCCGGCCGCUGGCCACAAGGACGACGACACCGCUGAAACGCGCAGCCCCGCCACCGGCAACAAAGACAACGACUACGACGGGUCUUGUGGAACCCGCGAGCACACACGGAUCAUCUGUCUGUCCUGCGAUUGCGAAGGCGGGCUCACUAAGCCGGUCGGCGUCCCGGUGCCGGGCAGCGAGUGCUCCUGGUGCGGCCAGACGAUGACUCGGGUCUCUGGUGCCGCCAUGAACUAG